rnacentral:rRNA from 1 species
UGGUUACUAUAGCAAAGAGGAUACACCUGUUCCCAUUCCGAACACAGAAGUUAAGCUCUUUAGCGCCGAUGGUACUUGGUGGGAAGCUGCCUGGGAGAGUAGGACGUAGCCNGUCC